rnacentral:rRNA from 1 species
AACGAACGCUGGCGGCAUGCCUAACACAUGCAAGUCGAACGAGACCUUCGGGUCUAGUGGCGCACGGGUGCGUAACGCGUGGGAAUCUGCCCUUGGGUUCGGAAUAACAGUUAGAAAUGACUGCUAAUACCGGAUGAUGACUUCGGUCCAAAGAUUUAUCGCCCAGGGAUGAGCCCGCGUAGGAUUAGCUUGUUGGUGAGGUAAAAGCUCACCAAGGCGACGAUCCUUAGCUGGUCUGAGAGGAUGAUCAGCCACACUGGGACUGAGACACGGCCCAGACUCCUCCGGAAGGCAGCAGUGGGGAAUAUUGGACAAUGGGCGAAAGCCUGAUCCAGCAAUGCCGCGUGAGUGAUGAAGGCCUUAGGGUUGUAAAGCUCUUUUACCCGGGAUGAUAAUGACAGUACCGGGAGAAUAAGCCCCGGCUAACUCCGUGCCAGCAGCCGCCGUAAAAC